rnacentral:rRNA from 1 species
GAUGAACGCUGGCGGCGUGCCUAAUACAUGCAAGUCGAGCGAACAGAUGAGGAGCUUGCUCCUCUGACGUUAGCGGCGGACGGGUGAGUAACACGUGGAUAACCUACCUAUAAGACUGGGAUAACUUCGGGAAACCGGAGCUAAUACCGGAUAAUAUAUUGAACCGCAUGGUUCAAUAGUGAAAGACGGUUUUGCUGUCACUUAUAGAUGGAUCCGCGCCGCAUUAGCUAGUUGGUAAGGUAACGGCUUACCAAGGCAACGAUGCGUAGCCGACCUGGGAGGGUGAGCGGCCACACUGGAACUGAGACACGGUCCAGACUCCUACGGGAGGCAGCAGUAGGGAAUCUUCCGCAAUGGGCGAAAGCCUGACGGAGCAACGCCGCGUGAGUGAUGAAGGUCUUCGGAUCGUAAAACUCUGUUAUUAGGGAAGAACAAAUGUGUAAGUAACUAUGCACGUCUUGACGGUACCUAAUCAGAAAGCCACGGCUAACUACGUG